rnacentral:tRNA from 1 species
GCGGGAGUAGUUCAGCGGUAGAACAUCUGCUUCCCAAGCAGAGGGUCGCGGGUUCGAGUCCCGUCUCCCGCU